UACGGGGGGGGCAAGCGUUGUUCGGAAUUACUGGGCGUAAAGGGCUCGUAGGCGGCCAACUAAGUCAGACGUGAAAUCUCCCGGCUCAACUGGGAGGGUGCGCCGAAUACUGAAUGACUAGAGUGCGGGAGAGGAAAGUGGAAUUCCUGGUGUAGCGGUGAAAUGCGUAGAUAUCAGGAGGAACACCGGUGGUGUAGACGGCUUUCUGGACCGUAACUGACGCUGAGACACGAAAGCGUGGGUAGCAAACAGG
rnacentral:rRNA from 1 species